rnacentral:rRNA from 1 species
UACGAAGGGGGCUAGCGUUGUUCGGAAUUACUGGGCGUAAAGCGCACGUAGGCGGACAUUUAAGUUGGAGGUGAAAGCCUUGGGCUCAACCCAAGAAUUGCCUUUGAUACUGGAUGUCUCGAGACCGGGAGAGGUGAGUGGAAUUCCGAGUGUAGAGGUGAAAUUCGUAGAUAUUCGGAAGAACACCAGUGGCGAAGGCGGCUCACUGGCCCGGUACUGACGCUGAGGUGCGAAAGCGUGGGGAGCAAACAGG